UAACCCAACAGAAAUUUAUAACCGAUUGGAUAAUAAUCCACAAGAGAUGCGAAACGAGAUUUGGGUGGAGCGCAUACGCCUUGAGUCACGUGUGAUUAAACGAUGUUAUCCGCGAUUCUCGGUGCCGUCGCACCUGUAUGCCUAUGGAAUGCCUACGUCGUGCCUUGUUUGACUUUUUUACGCCUCCCCUUGCUUCUCCCGUCAUUUCUUCAACCCUGGAGCUGCAUCGGAGGAUUGACGGUCGGCGGAGAUUGUUUUUGGCCGCGAGAAAAGGACACGGAAUUUUCCUUUACAUUCAAAGGAUUUGCGAUAGCGACAAGCAGCGGUUGAUAGCGGUUCCAUACAGAGAAAACAAGUGCAACGAGAACGGGAAGCCGCCGUGACUCCAUAGGUGCUCGCCAUUUCAUUGGACCAUUAUCCUGUUUGCGCGUACAGACGGCGCAAACGGAGUAAAAGAACUUGUGGAAAGAUAGAGAGAAACUCGGACGGGAAGUACAACACGGUUGAGAAAGACAAUGCGGUGAAACAAGUCUGAAUUCUAAAUAAAUAUGCGCUACAUAACGUCUGCCUAGCUAGCCCCCCCAACUUACAUAAAAUUUAAGGAAAAAAUUACAUAAUAAUGUGCUAUUUAUGCGCUCUUCAAAUCCGUAAGAAAAAAAUUUUGCGCUCGCUCC